AUGGUUGAGGCUGUGUGUGUGCGCGUCUCUCGGUACAGAUGCUGAAGGGUGACUCACAGCGUUGUGGAUUUGACAUGAUCGUCUGGUUCAGAGUAAUGGAGCGGAUCACCAUGUAGACAGCAGCCGUCGGGAAGCAGGUAGAAUGGGAAACCACGUAUGGAGAGCCGCCGGUCUGCAGCCGUGGUGAGCGCAGACGUCCUCAGGACCUCAGCCGGGAUCUCGCGGAUGGCUGUCGCGUCCCCGCUCGAGUAACGCAGAGGAGCCUCUCUUCAACUGCAGACAGCGGACAGGAUCAGUUUUUUUUCUUCAUCCUCCCUCUCUUACCUUCCAUUCUCUCCUGCAUUGCUCUCGUUUUUAUUAGACACCUGUUCUCCAGCCGCACCAGGGACUCCUUCUCUGCCCGUGUGGCAUUUUCUCCAUUUCUCUCAUCCGCUUUCAAGAAAAGCUACCAAGCAAUACUCAGCCACCAUGGGGGACAUGACAAAUAGCGAUUUUUACACCAAGAACCAAAGCAACGACAGCAACCAUGCAGGGGGAUUUGGAUGCUCGCUCAUGGAGCUGCGUUCCCUCAUGGAGCUCAGAGGAACGGAGGCGGUGG